rnacentral:ncRNA from 1 species
CAACCUCAACUCAUAUGGGACUACCCCCUGAAUUUAAGCAUAUUAAUUAGGGGAGGAAAAGAAACUAACAAGGAUUUUCUUAGUAGCGGCGAGCGAAAAGAAAUCAGUUCAGCACUAAGUCACUUUGUCUAUAUGGCAAAUGUGAGAUGCAGUGUACGGAACAUCAACAUUCUAGUAUGAGAAGUUAACGAUUUAAGUCCUUCUUAAAUGAGGCCAUUUACCCAUAGAGGGUGCCAGGCCCGUAUAACGUUAAUGAUUACUAGAUGGUGUUUCCAAAGAGUCGUGUUGCUUGAUAGUGCAGCACUAAGUGGGUGGUAAACUCCAUCUAAAACUAAAUAUAACCAUGAGACCGAUAGUAAACAAGUACCGUGAGGGAAAGUUGAAAAGAACUCUGAAUAGAGAGUUAAAUAGUACGUGAAACUGCUUAGAGGUUAAGCCCGAUGAACCUGAAUAUCCGUUAUGGAAAAUUCAUCAUUAGAAUUGUAAUAUUUUAAACAAUAUUAUAAUAAUAGUGUGCAUUUUUUCCAUAUAAGGACAUUGUAAUCUAUUAGCAUAAAUAUUUAUCAUAAAAUUAUGUCUGAUUGCUUAUUUGAAUUAUAUGCUUGGCAUUUUAACAUAAAAUAAAAGAUAUAAAUUUGAUAAAGUGCUGAUAGAUUUAUAUGA